AAAAUGUGCAACGUUUUUUUAUUCCUUAACUAGCAGAUACAAUAUCUAAACCACUGAGGUAUUCAGCUAUUUUGUUUCAGUUGCCUGAUAUGAAGACCUUAUUCUUAUGUGUAGCUUUAUUAUGCGCUCUGUCAACAUGGGCGGCCCCGGCAAGUGAAGAAUGCCUCUGUAAAUUCCGGACCGGCCCAGUGUGCGGUGUCAACGGUAUUACCUACAAGACCGAAUGUGAAAUGAGAUGCAGCAAAGUCGCCCCGCGUUUAGCUUACCAUGGCGAAUGUAGGGAACGACCGCCUCUUAUUAUAGGAGUUGGUAAAUGAAUAUCUUCUUCUAGAUACAAUCAUAUAAAUUCA